UUAAGCAUAUCAGUAAGCGGAGGAAAAGAAACUAACAAGGAUUCCCUCAGUAACGGCGAGUGAAGCGGGAAGAGCCCAGCACCGAAUCCCCCGGGGCGUGCCUCCGGCGGGAAGUGUGGUGUUUGGGACGCCGGUCGGCGGCGGUUCCCUGUGCCCAAGUCCUUCUGAUCGGGGCCUUUCCCAGAGCGGGUGUCAGGCCUUUGGCGGCACGGGAGCCUCCGUCCCUUCGAGCGUCCUAAGAGUCGGGUUGUUUGGGAAUGCAGCCCUAAGCGGGUGGUAAACUCCAUCUAAGGCUAAAUAUCAGCACGAGUCCGAUAGCGAACAAGUACCGUGAGGG
rnacentral:rRNA from 1 species